rnacentral:lncRNA from 1 species
GAAGUGGUUGAGUUGUUGAAUUGGCUCACAGUUCUAUAGGCUAUAGAGGAAACAUAGCAGCAUCUCCUUCUGUGGAGGCUCAGAAAGCUUCCCAAAGUGGCAGAAGACUAAAGGGAGCAGGCACUUCACAUGGCAACAGCAGGAGAGGAGGACAGAGAGAGAGAGAGAGAGUUGGAGGGUGGGGGGUGCCACACACUUUUAAAUGACAAGAUUUCACAAAAUAUUUUCCUAAGACCCAAUGGAAACUUCCUCCUUCCUUUAUUUCAGCUGAGAAACUAACGUCAUCCUUUCAGAAGAGAAAGGGAAGAGGUCAACUUUGGUUUGAACCCUCUCCCAAAGAAGCAGAAAAUUGCAAACUUUUGCAACAAGACAAUUUUAGUCUGUUGAAAAUAGACUACAGAACCCAUAAAGACCAAUAGGAGCAUUUAAAAUCAUGCCUUAUCUCAAAGUGAAAGUGACCGUAGUCCACCUUAGGGCCAGAGUUUUACAAUUCUAUUGCUUGUUAACCUUCUUAACAUCUGUGACAGCCAAGUGUCUCAUCCGAUUACUGACUGGGAAACCAACACCUCAGUCUCACAUCCCUAAUUCCGUCUCUUGAGGUGUGAGGAAGCUGUGGAAUCUGCCUUCUGCUGCUCCCACUUCUUCCACAGAAAAGGCUUCAAUGCAUGAGAGAAGCAGACAACUAUCAAGGUCAUUAAAAGUCUGCAUUUUCUUAGUGCACAGCUGUCCCUGCAACUAUGUGUUGAACAUACCUACAUUUCUUCUCCAACAAUAAGAGAGGCAAGUGAAAGAAGACCAUGAAGAUGCAGGAAAUGCAUUCUUCUCUACCCCGAGCAAGAAAUAAUCUGUCAAUUGAAGAUUCAUAAUGUAUCAAAAACAUACUUCAGGAAAUCACAAAGAAAAAUUCAAGACUGGGAUUUUUGUUUUUGUCUUUUUAAGUUCAAGCCACAGAAAGUAUUUGGAAGAAUUAGAAAAUGCUUUCAGUGGGGAAUUCCACAGGAACUGGAAAAUCUCAGGCAAAAUUAGAACCAAAGAAAACAGAAAUAGUAGAAAUCUCGAAGAUCAUCAAAUUCAACCCUGCUACUUUGCCAUUGAUUAAAAAC